AGAAUCUUAGGUUAAUCAAACCUUUAGCCUUCAAAGCUUAGAUUAAACUUUACUGUUUAGAUUCUG
rnacentral:tRNA from 1 species